rnacentral:rRNA from 1 species
UGCAAGUCGAACGAUUCCUGUAUCUUCGGAUACAGGGAGUGGCAAACGGCUGAGUAACGCGUAGGAACCUACCCCAAACUCGAGUAUAGCCCCGCGAAAGCGGGGGUAAUCCUCGAUAGCCCGUGAAGUAUUUUACUUCACGGUAAAGCUUUUGCGGUUUGGGAUGGGCCUGCGUCCUAUCAGGUAGUUGGUGAGGUAAAUGCUCACCAAGCCUAUGACGGGUAGCUGGUCUGAGAGGAUGGUCAGCCAGACUGGGACUGCGACACGGCCCAGACUCCUACGGGAGGCAGCAACUAGGAAUUGUGCGCAAUGGACGAAAGUCUGACGCCGCGACAUCGCGUGGAGGAUGAAGGUCUUCGGAUUGUAAACUCCUUUUCUUACCGAACAAGUUCUGAGUGUAGGUAAGGAAUAAGUGCCUGCUAACCACGUGCCAGAAGCAUCGGUAAUACGUGGGGCACGAGCGUUAUCCGGAUUUACUGGGCGUAAAGAGAAGCGUAGGCGGCUCAAUAAGUUUGGUGUUAAAUCUUCCGGCUCAACCGGAAACAAGCACCGAAAACUAUCGAGAUUGAGUCGAGUAGGGAAGAGGGGAAUUCCUGGUGGAGCGGUUAAAUGCGUAGAUAUCAGGAGGAAUACCAAGGGCGAAGGCACCUCUUUGGACUCGUACUGACGCUGAGGCUCGAAAGCGUGGAUAGCAAAACGGAUUAGAUACCCGUGUAGUCCACGCCGUAAACGAUCCCUGUUAG